rnacentral:rRNA from 1 species
UACGUAGGGUGCGAGCGUUAAUCGGAAUUACUGGGCGUAAAGCGUGCGCAGGCGGUUCGUCGUGUCCGAUGUGAAAGCCCCGGGCUCAACCUGGGAAUGGCAUUGGAAACUGGCGGGCUUGAGUGUGGCAGAGGGGGGUGGAAUUCCGCGUGUAGCAGUGAAAUGCGUAGAGAUGCGGAGGAACACCGAUGGCGAAGGCAGCCCCCUGGGCUAACACUGACGCUCAGGCACGAAAGCGUGGGGAGCGAACAGG